rnacentral:rRNA from 1 species
UACGUAGGGCGCAAGCGUUGUCCGGAAUUAUUGGGCGUAAAGAGCUCGUAGGUGGUGUGUCGCGUCUGCCGUGAAAGCCCGGGGCUUAACUCCGGGUCUGCGGUGGAUACGGGCAGACUAGAGGCAGGUAGGGGAGAACGGAAUUCCCGGUGUAGCGGUGAAAUGCGCAGAUAUCGGGAGGAACACCAAUGGCGAAGGCAGCUCGCUGGGACGUUACUGACGCUGAGACGCGAAAGCGUGGGGAGCAAACAGG